rnacentral:rRNA from 1 species
CGGGACGGGUGGGUAACGCGUGGAUAACCUGCCUCACACUGGGGGAUAACAGUUAGAAAUGACUGCUAAUACCGCAUAAGCGCACAGCACCGCAUGGUACAGUGUGAAAAACUCCGGUGGUGUGAGAUGGAUCCGCGUCUGAUUAGCCAGUUGGCGGGGUAACGGCCCACCAAGACUACGAUGGAUAGGGGUUCUGAGAGGAAGGUCCCCCACAUUGGAACUGAGACACGGUCCAA